rnacentral:rRNA from 1 species
UACAGAGGUGGCAAGCGUUGUUCGGAAUUACUGGGCGUAAAGGGCGCGUAGGCGGCCUUCUAAGUCGGACGUGAAAUCCCCAGGCUUAACUUGGGAACUGCGUCUGAUACUGGGAGGCUUGAGUGCGGGAGAGGGAUGUGGAAUUCCAGGUGUAGCGGUGAAAUGCGUAGAUAUCUGGAGGAACACCGGUGGCGAAGGCGGCAUCCUGGACCGGCAUUGACGCUGAGGAGCGAAAGCUAGGGGAGCAAACAGG